GCUGUUGAAUGAGGUGUGCUGUUGUUAGGGUUGGAGUGAAAACCUACAGGACGGUAGACCUCCAGGAACAGGGUUGGGCAGCCCUGCUCUAGCUGUUGAAUGAGGUGUGCUUUGUUAGGGUUGGAGUGAAAACCUACAGGACGGUAGACCUCCAGGAACAGGGUUGGGCAGCCCUGCUCUAGCUGUUGAAUGAGGUGUGCUUUGUUAGGGUUGGAGUGAAAACCUACAGGACGGUAGAUCUCCAGGAACAGGGUUGGGCAGCCCUGCUCUAGCUGUUGAAUGAGAUGUGCUUUGUUAGGGUUGGAGUGAAAACCUACAGGGCGGUAGAUCUCCAGGAACAGGGUUGGGCAGCCCUGCUCUAGCUGUUGAAUGAGGUUUGCGGCUAAUGGACAAUCACACACAGCAGCAUCCUUUUCACUGAGUUUUUACAACAAAAUCCCCUGAAAUCCCCCCCUUAAAUUACCAGUCAGUCCCCAGCAGAGGAGGCGUCAUAGAAAUGUCCAUUGCUUUGGUGUGCAGUGCACCAGACGAUCCUUAGCUAAUGCUACCAGCACGUCUUACGCAAUGGAUGACUCCACUGCAAACCAAAUCUACCUACGGAUACAAAUAAAGUCACCUGAACCUGAAUGGGAAACCUGGCCCGAACACCCAACAAAACCACCACCAGACUCUGCCAGGGAAGGAGAGGCAACAGUGGGGGGCGCCAGAGAGCACGGGACCGGGUGCGCUGCAAAUGACUCGUCCCUCUAAGGCUCACUCUGCAGCUCACGCACUGACCCGGAAUAUGAACGGUCAACAGAGACCAAAUUGCCUUCAUCUCCUACGAGCCCCUUUAUAAUAGGAUGAGCAAACAGCAGCCAAUCCUCUGCUGUAAUCAUAAUUAACUUUACUUCAUUUUUUAUUAGCUUAUUUCCAGAAAUGCCGUAUCAUAUUGCUUCCAGGCACUGAGGACAAACACCCUGUUUGUGUUUGACGAGGGGGGAACGUUAACACCUCAGGCGGUGCCCUGUAAACUGAGGGAUGUGAUGUACGCACGUCAAACAGACUGACACUUAUGACGUCCACACACAUGCCUCACAACCUCUUUAUAGCUGUGCUGUUUAUCGUGUGUUCAGAGAAGAUGGGAAACAUAUUCCACGAUCAUUCCUUGAUUUUACUGAGGAUAAUACUUUGCCAAAUGACAGACGUAGAGUGGGAAGCAAAAAUAGAAAUAUGUACAGAUACGCAGAAGCUUCACGCUGGCUGAGGAUGGGUUUUCCCUUCUCUAUAUCCUAUCCUAUCAUAUAUAUUAUGAAUGUUCGAUGGAGGUGAGCUGAAAAUUUGAAAGCAAGCAAUUGGGAAAGUUUUAGUGGGGAGGCCAUUUUGAGCACGGUUACUAUGUUUGAACCAGGUAAAGAUCUGUUUUGACUGGGAACUAUACUAUAACAACAACAGUCCUAAACAUGUAAAUAAUCAGCGGUCAGUCAGCCAUUUUGUCAUUUGAUGGGUGUUCCACACACUGCUCAGAGAGUGCUCUCGGAUGACUUUAAGAGCUUAUCAUUAAUAGUUUUGGUUAUUGUCCGUGGGGUCCAACACUUCAGCAUCACCGGGUGCCCCGAGGCCACUGAACAAAUGAGCUAAAUUAAUAAUGCCUACAGCUCCUUACAUCAAAGAACCAGUCAGUUAAUUAAACAUCCUGUCACUCCUUCA